rnacentral:rRNA from 1 species
UACGUAGGGUGCAAGCGUUGUCCGGAAUUAUUGGGCGUAAAGAGCUUGUAGGCGGUUUGUCGCGUCUGCUGUGAAAUUUCGGGGCUCAACCCCGAACUUGCAGUGGGUACGGGCAGACUAGAGUGUGGUAGGGGAGACUGGAAUUCCUGGUGUAGCGGUGAAAUGCGCAGAUAUCAGGAGGAACACCGAUGGCGAAGGCAGCUCUCUGGGUCCCUACCGACGCUGGGUGCGAAAGCAUGGGGAGCGAACGAGGAAUUGAGAUACCCU